GAUAAGUUCAUUCCAUAUAUAAAGAACAACCCGCUCCUUUCAUUCGCAAACUAGGGUUUCCAACAUUGAGCGUCUUCUCCAAGCUUCCUCUCUCAAUCUCAAACGUCUGAUAAGGUGAAUGAUUGAGGGCUCAUUCUUUCCUUUUCAAUGUCGCAACAUAUUUCGCUUCGAUUUGUUCAAAUCACAAGUUCUAAUGUGUUGUUUUGAUAUUGAUGAUAUAUACUGUAAAUGUCUUGCUGAUCAUAUCAGGUUCUAAUGUUACUUUCAUGCUAUAUCAUCAUUUUUCACAUAAUCACAUUCAAUUGUUAUUCACCAGGUUCAAAAUGUUGCUUGAAUAGUGCAUGUUUACUGUUUGAUGAAAUUCCUUUGAGAGACAUUUGUUUUAUUUAUUAGGUUUUGUCAAUCUUUCUUUGAGUUCAUCAUUUUUUAUCACUUGAUUGAUGUUUAUCGUGAAUGUUGCGGCAUAAUAUUGGUGACACAUUUUGUUGCUGAGAAUCUUAUGCUGAAAAGGGGAGAAAACAAGGAGAUUUCUAUGGCAUAGAGGCUUAAUCGUAAUAAUGUCAUUGAGAUACUAGGAUAUUGUGUAGAUGGUGGUUCGAGAUUACUUGCUUACGAGUACGCUUGAAAUGGAAUGUUGUUCAAUGUAAAACCAUCUUUCAUGGUCAAGUAUAUGUGUGUGAAUGGGAACCAUCCUUUGAUGUACGCUCAGAGCCCAACCAAAUUUCAAGCAUCUUAACAUCAUAAUCUUACAUAUAUAUGAUAAGGCUUUAAUCAAGAAAUUGUUUCCUCUUGCAAUGGUUGUUGGAGUUGUUAUUCUAUAUUUUGGGUCACGAAGAAAAUUUAUUGAUCGGUUUGUUUCAUAGAAUACCAUUAAAUUCAGUCAUAAAACCGAUGUUUUUGGGUUACAAGAUUCAAUAUUCGGGGAGUAAACGCAGUCACUCUAAUCUGGGUUGCAUGCGCCUUCAAGAUUAGAAGGUAUCCCCUAAUCGCGACCGGAUUUACCCAAAACCUCACAUUUGAUGAAGGAGAGGAUUUUAGUGACUUGGCAGUGGAAUAUUGAGUUUGUCCAUCCAAGAAGGAAGAUGGCAUGCUUGGUUGGGUGAGAAAGGGCCAGAUGGUGCCAGAGUUUUAGCAAGAUGCAUUUAACGCCCCAUUAAACAAGAACGUAUGGAGUGGAAUGUCUGGAGUUAGUUUGACUUGAGCAGGGUUGGUUGGUAAGCUGGUGCAAGGGUCCAACCUUCUUUAGAGUCUUUAAGACUGGAGGGUAUGGAGAGCCUCAUCCCCAAGGGGAUGGGCUGCCACAUCACCGCCACGUAAGCGGGGCUUGAGGGGGAUGGACCUAGGGGGUGGGGGAUGAACCCCUUUAUAUAUAUGUAUGUAUGUAUAGUUAUAUGUGAGAGAAGGAGGCACAACGAGUCCGGCUUGUGGGAGACGGAUGGGACGAGCCGACCCUAUGGGGGGCGGUGUGGGGGACCGGCGCCGGGCCAGGCCGGGCCUAAGCCGCCCCCAUACCCUUUAGUCUAAGUGACCCACCAUAGCUAUACAUGCCAUUAUGCACUUCUUUUGGGAUGUGCAUUGCAUCUGGAAGUCUUCUGAGUUCAAUAAUGGACGACCUUUAGCUUCUUUUGCUAGAAUCCUGAGCCUUGGAAUUGGAGAUAUUAUGGAUGACUUGAAUGAUUUAUAGGAAUCUAUGGUUGGGCAUGAGUAUGGUGUUCUUCGGUGGAGUAAAGCAGGCAGCAAAACUACUAGAAUAACGUUUUUCCAACCUGCUUGAUCUGCCAUGCUUCCACUUCUUGCUGCCACAGGACCGAUUUCACUCAGGUGGGUCUUUUUAGAAGAUCGCUUUCAUUCAAGAUUGUUGGUGGUACAUGAGCUAGACAAAGUCGGAAGAUAUUUCGUUCAGUGACGAUUGUUUUUUCAACUGGUCUACAAGGAAUGCCAGGUUAUUGGUUACGAAGCUCCAAAAAGCAAAAUUAUUAGAUUAAUAGGUUAUUCAUUGUUAUUUCGCACAAGAGACACUUAAUUUCAACGUUUAUUUAUGUUUUCAUUAUGAUUAUAUCCAUAGUACGUGGAUUGUCUUAUUUACUUUAUGAACCUUUUGCAUUCGAUAACAAUUUCUUUUAAAGAUUUUCGAUAUGUUCGUUAUAAACAUGUAAUGUUCUGUCA
rnacentral:lncRNA from 1 species